CAGUCGCCACGGUAAUACGUAGGGUGCAAGCGUUAAUCGGAAUUACUGGGCGUAAAGCGUGCGCAGGCGGUUCUAUAAGACAGAUGUGAAAUCCCCGGGCUCAACCUGGGAACUGCAUUUGUGACUGUAGAGCUGGAGUGCGGCAGAGGGGGAUGGAAUUCCGCGUGUAGCAGUGAAAUGCGUAGAUAUGCGGAGGAACACCGAUGGCGAAGGCAAUCCCCUGGGCCUGCACUGACGCUCAUGCACGAAAGCGUGGGGAGCAAACAGGAUUAGAUACCCCGGUAGUCCCUGUCUCUUAUAC
rnacentral:rRNA from 1 species